AGAAAACGGACAGCGAGCGCGAGAAGGCGGGUAACCAAUAUAACCUACGGCAUUACUACAUAGUUAAGAGCCACAAGAAAUUCAUCAGCUGAAGAGCUGAACUCCGCGAAAACUGGAUGCUGGCUAGAUCCCUGAAAGGAAGAGAUGGCAGAUUCCCAACUUGCGAGUGUAUUCUUUGAGGAUUUGGCAAGAAAGAAGAAAAAGUCAAAGAACAGUGAAAAAUGCAAAAAAGACAAGCUCAAAGUGAGGAAGGCAGGGAAGCAACUGUUCUGGGCAGACAAGUCUGAAGACUGUUUUGCCAGCAUGACUCAAAAAAAUACCAAAAAAGCUAAAAAAAACAAACAUAAAAAACGUAAGAAGGUGAAAUUAAAUCCAGUGGAGGGCUCUCUUUUUCCACCAAGGCAAGGUAAAUACAAAGGUGAGCUCCUAGGUUGUCUGAAUGAAAGCAAACUUGCACCUGUUACAACACAGCUGGGCACAUAUGAAGAUAUCAGAUAUGCUGGCU